GACGAACGCGGCGGCGUGCCUAAUACAUGCAAGUAGAACGCUGAAGGAGGAGCUUGCUCUUCUGGAUGAGUUGCGAACGGGUGAGUAACGCGUAGGUAACCUGCCUGGUAGCGGGGGAUAACUAUUGGAAACGAUAGCUAAUACCGCAUAAGAGUAGAUGUCGCAUGACAUUUGCUUAAAAGGUGCAAUUGCAUCACUACCAGAUGGACCUGCGUUGUAUUAGCUAGUUGGUGAGGUAACGGCUCACCAAGGCAACGAUACAUAGCCGACCUGAGAGGGUGAUCGGCCACACUGGGACUGAGACACGGCCCAGACUCCUACGGGAGGCAGCAGUAGCGAAUCUUCGGCAAUGGACGGAAGUCUGACCGAGCAACGCCGCGUGAGUGAAGAAGGUUUUCGGAUCGUAAAGCUCUGUUGUAAGAGAAGAAACGAGUGUGAGAAGUGGGAAGUUUCAACAACUGUG
rnacentral:rRNA from 1 species